AGAGAUUAAGAUUAUUAUUUUUCUCGGAUAUUUAUUUAUAUAUAUAAACUCAGAGGCACUUCUCUGUUUUUUUCUAAUCUAUUGUUCGAGUUUCUGAGGAUUAUUUUUGAUUUGUCGGACUUCGAUCCUCGGGGUUCGAUAAUCUCUUCUUCCUCCCCCAUAAAGUUUCCUCCUUUUUAAUCCGUGGGAUUCGAAGAAUCAUGUCAGAUGGAUACUAUAGUUGUAAGAAGACGGACGAUAUCUGCGAAGAUGUUUGUGGUCAAGAUGGUUCUCGAGCAGCAAAAGCCUUCUCGAGGGUGAGAUGCGUACUACAAGGACUCGAUCUCAAGACGUACAUCUUCUUCCUCACCAUCGUCCCCAUCUUCAUCCUCGGAGUCUACUGGCACGGACAGAAGCUCACCUACUUCCUCAGACCCCUCUGGGAAUCACCUCCCACACCGUUUCAUACCCUCCCGCAUUACUACCAUCCAAACGCCUCCAUGGAGACUCUCUGCAGCCUCCACGGGUGGAAACGCCGCGAGUCUCCUCGACGCGUCUUCGAUGCUGUACUCUUCAGCAACGAGGUCGACAUGCUCACCAUCCGCUGGAAAGAGCUCUAUCCAUACAUCACGCAGUUCGUGAUCCUCGAGUCCAACUCGACCUUCACCGGUUUACCUAAACCGCUGGUUUUCGAUGCAAACCGGGAGAAGUUUGAGUUUGUUGAGCCGAGGCUGACUUAUGGAAACAUAGGAGGGAGGUUCAAGAGAGGAGAGAACCCUUUUGUUGAAGAAGCUUACCAGAGGAUCGCGCUGGACAAGCUUAUCACACUCUCGGGGAUCGAAGAAGACGAUCUUCUGAUAAUGUCUGACGUCGACGAGAUCCCCAGCGCUCACACCAUCGACCUGCUUCGAUGGUGCGAUGGUUACCCGCCGGUUCUCCACCUCCAGCUCAGAAACUACCUGUACUCGUUCGAGUACUUCGUCGACAGCAAAAGCUGGAGAGCUUCUAUACACAGUUACAAGCCCGGGACGACUCGGUACGCUCAUUUCAGACGAGGGACACUCUUUUGGCGGACGCUGGUUGGCACUGCAGCUUCUGUUUCAGGCGCAUCAGCGAGUUUGUGUUCAAGAUGAAAGCGUACAGCCACAACGACAGGGUUAGGUUCUCUCAUUAUCUGAACCCGGAGAGGAUACAGGAUGUGAUAUGCAGAGGGACUGAUCUGUUCGACAUGCUUCCCGAAGAGCAUACGUUCAGGGAAAUCAUCGGGAAGAUGGGUCCGAUCCCGCGGUCUUACUCGGCUGUUCAUCUCCCUGGUCAUCUGAUUGAAAAAGCUGAGAGUUAUAAAUACUUGUUGCCUGGGAACUGCGUUAGGGACAGUGGCUGAUGAUGAUAAGGGUUUGUGCUUAUCAGAAAACAGAGGUUGGUACAGUUUGUUUUGGGAAUAUUGAGGGAGAGUGAUCUGAUAAGUAGAGUCUCUGGUUUCAGCAGUAUUUCUCGGUGAGGGUAUAUAGCCAAUACUGACUUCAUGUUCCCUUUUGUUGUUUUUUGGGAAGUUUUGCUGGAAUAGUCUUUCUAUCUCUUAUCUCUCUCUCUUUUUUUUUUACUUCUAGACUCUUUUUUUUAGUCUGUACAAUCUAUUAGUGAUUUCUUUACAUUAUCCUCAGAUUCUUUGUAAUUUUUAUUCUUAAAAAAAAUUCUUAAUUUGAUA